rnacentral:rRNA from 1 species
GGGGGGGGGGGGGGGGGGGGGGGGGGGGGGCGGGUCGAGGGGCAGCGCGGGGGUCGGGCGGGCGGCGGGGGGCGGACGGGUGAGUGGUGCAUCGGAGCGUGCCCAGUAGUGGGGGCUAGCUCGGCGAAAGCCGGAGUAAUACCGCCUCCGCCCUGGGGGUGAAAGCGGGGUAUCUUCGGACCUCGCUCUAUUGGAACGGCCGCUGUCAGCUUAGCUAGUUGGUGGGGUAAAGUCCUACCAAGGCGACGAUCUGUCUCUGGUCUGAGAGGACGACCCGCCACACUGGGAGUGAGAAACGGCCCAGACUCCUACGGGAGGCAGCAGUGGGGAAUUUUGGACAAUGGGCGAAAGCCUGAUCCAGCAAUGCCGCGUGUGUGAUGAAGGCCUUAGGGUUGUAAAGCACUUUUGGCGGGGACGAAAAGGACUGUGCCAAUACCACGGUUCGAUGACGGUACCCGCAGAAUAAGCACCGGCUAACUACGUG